CGGUUUCUUCCUGAGCUGAUUUCCAUCAGUCGUUUACUCCAUGACGUGACCCAAAGGACAGUGGACACUGGCCUGGGCAUUUUCUGCCCACUCCUCGCGAUUAGAAGACACAACUUCAAUAUUAGAAACCAGCUGUGGAGAAGUGUGUUGGACAAAACAUCACCGUCUCUAACGUUGCUACAGCUGCUGGCCGGGUCUGUCCUGGCUGUCGUCCACAUCUUCGCGACCCCUCCAUGUGCCAAGGCUCCUCAGAGCAGUCGCUCUCUUUGUGUGGUGAACAGCUUCCAAGGGCCCAGAGGCAGGGCCCAUCUGAAGGCUGGAAAUGGUCUGACGACGCAUUCUCUGUGCAGUCGAGUGGAUGCAUCGGGAACCCUGAGCAGUGUUAAAAAGAUAAACUCGCACGAGAUAACUGGGAGUCUGGGAACAGCCAAGCCUUGUGAAUCAGCACAAGUCAGGUCUGGAAAUUGUUGAGCAGCUGGAAUGACCCGCCGAGCAGCCACGUGGGCUCCUUAACAUCACCUGCUACACAGGAUGCUGUCUCUCACCUACACAAUUCCAUCAUGGGACGUGCCCUUCUGAGAGGCAGGCUCAGCAAAUGCGCAGCGAUGACACCUGGCCCUCGGCAGAUGCAGUGGAUGGCCACAGAGCACGGACGCUGCACAUGCUGGGCAGCGGUGGCUGGGCCUCUGACUGGACACGAAAACAAGAGGAAGGAAAAGCAAGUUUACAAAAUCGUGCCAUUUCACCCCAUCAUUUUACAAUGAAAUGAAACAAUUAAAUACAUACCAGUAUGGGCAGGGAGAAAUAAGCAGUGGAAGGGCAUAUGCCAGAAUGCUAGUCCCCAGAAUAGUCUUUCUGAUUCUAAAGCCAAUGGUAAUUUUAGU